GGGCUUGUAACUCAGUUGGUUAGAGUAUACGCCUGAUAAGCGUAAAGUCGGUAGUUCAAGUCUACUCAAGCCUA
rnacentral:tRNA from 1 species